CCCUUAGAUGUUUUGGGCCGCACGCGCGCUACACUGAUGCAUUCAACGAGUUUUUCCUGGUCCGAGAGGAAUGGGUAACCUUUUGAAAGUGCAUCGUGCUAGGGAUAGACUAUUGCAAUUAUUGGUCUUCAACGAGGAAUUCCUAGUAGACGUAGUUCAUCAGACUGCAUCGAUUACGUCCCUGCCCUUUGUACACACCGCCCGUCGCUCCUACCGAUUGGAUGAUCCGGUGAGCUAUUCGGACCUUCGCUUCGUCGAUUUUCGGCUUUGUGAGGGAAAGUCCCGCGAACCUUAUCAUCUAGAGGAAGGAGAAGUCGUAACA
rnacentral:rRNA from 1 species